rnacentral:tRNA from 1 species
GCACUCGUAGCUUAACGUUAAAGCACCGGUCUUGUAAGCCGGACAUGGAGGUUAGAAUCCCCCCUUCUGCU